rnacentral:lncRNA from 1 species
CUCAAAAUAUAAAAACUAAAGUAUCUGACAAACAUUAUAAUAUUUGGGAGAUAUGCACCCUGAUUUUGUUAUCUAAUAUCCUAUGUUUUUUUAAUUAUUUAUUUUUCAAAAACACUUUUUUUAUUCUCUCUCUCUUUUUCCUAGGGCACAGCAAGGUGAAAAUGGAGGAACUGACCUGACAAUACAACAAAUCAACAUGUGGAUUCACGCAUUAUGAAGAAGAAAACAUGAGACAACGUGGAGAUGAUGUUCAGAGUAUCCAGUCGAAUCUAAAGAAAGUGGAUACUCUCUUAACUUGUAACUUGGAUUUAUGGGGAGGAAUCAAAUCUGCCCUAUCGUGAACUUACUCGGGACCCAACAAUCUUGUGUGAGUAUGAAAAGUUGAUUGAUUGAAAAUGAACCGUCAUUUCUGAUAAUCACCUACGAAGUAAAAACCUGACCCAUGUAGUAUGUAAUAUUGAUGACAAUGAUUAGAAUAGAAUACGCACUAAUAGACACAUAGGCGGAUGCAGCACAUGACUACUAGGGGCUCAAGGCCCCACUGACCAAAAAAA